UACGUAGGGGGCAAGCGUUGUCCGGAAUCAUUGGGCGUAAAGCGCGCGUAGGCGGCCCGGUAAGUCCGUUGUGAAAGUCAAAGGCUCAACCUUUGAACGCCGAUGGAUACUGCCGGGCUAGAGUCCGGAAGAGGCGAGUGGAAUUCCUGGUGUAGCGGUGGAAUGCGCAGAUAUCAGGAGGAACACCGAUGGCGAAGGCAGCUCGCUGGGACGGUACUGACGCUGAGACGCGAAAGCGUGGGGAGCAAACAGG
rnacentral:rRNA from 1 species